rnacentral:rRNA from 1 species
UUAGCGGGUGGAAAAUGCGUAGAGAUCUGAAAGGAAUACNGGGUGGGCGAAGGGCGGGCCCCCCUGGACCAGAUACUGACACUCAGAUGCGGAAGCGUGGGNAGCAAACAGGGAUUAGAUNCCCUGGUAGUCCACGCCGUAAACGAUGUCUACUUGGAGGUUGUGGCCUUGAGCCGUGGCUUUCGGAGCUAACGCGUUAAGUAGNCCGCCUGGGGAGUACGGUCGCAAGAUUAAAACUCAAAUGAAUUGACGGGGGCCCGCACAAGCGGUGGAGCAUGUGGUUUAAUUCGAUGCAACGCGAAGAACCUUACCUACUCUUGACAUCUACAGAAGCCAGCGGAGACGCAGGUGUGCCUUCGGGAACUGUAAGACAGGUGCUGCAUGGCUGUCGUCAGCUCGUGUUGUGAAAUGUUGGGUUAAGUCCCGCAACGAGCGCAACCCUUAUCCUUGUUUGCCAGCACUUCGGGUGGGAACUCCAGGGAGACUGCCGGUGAUAAACCGGAGGAAGGUGGGGACGACGUCAAGUCAUCAUGGCCCUUACGAGUAGGGCUACACACGUGCUACAAUGGCGCAUACAGAGGGCGGCCAACUUGCGAAAGUGAGCGAAUCCCAAAAAGUGCGUCGUAGUCCGGAUUGGAGUCUGCAACUCGACUCCAUGAAGUCGGAAUCGCUAGUAAUCGUGGAUCAAAAUGCCACGGUGAAUACGUUCCCGGGCCUUGUACACACCGCCCGUCACACCAUGGGAGUGGGCUGCAAAAGAAGUGGGUAGUUUAACCUUCGGGAGGACGCUCACCACUUUGUGGUUCAUGACUGGGGUGAAGUCGUAACAAGGUAACCG